rnacentral:miRNA from 1 species
UCAGUAACAAGAAUUUGUCCCU